rnacentral:snRNA from 1 species
AUCAGAAACCCUGACGUGGCUGCC